rnacentral:rRNA from 1 species
GACAGAGGUGCCGAGCGUUAGGCGGAAUCACUGGGCUUAAAGCGUGUGUAGGCGGGUCGUUAAGUGCCUUGUGAAAUCCCACAGCUCACCUGUGGAACUGCUUGGCAUACUGGCGAUCUUGAGCCACUUAGGGGCAACCGGAACAAACGGUGGAGCGGUGAAAUGCGUAGAUAUCGAGAGGAACACCUGCGGCGAAGCGGUGCUGGGCUGACACGUGACGCUGAGGCGCGAAAGCUAGGGGAGCGAACGGG